rnacentral:rRNA from 1 species
AUGAGCACAGCUUACUCGUUUCCUACGGGGCACGUCACUGGGUGUGCUAUGCGUCCGCCGGGUCGUGAGCCGUCAGAUCUGCCGCAUCGAGCGCUCAAACGUGCCUUCAUCAUUGUAAUACAUGUCUUGUUGCAGGAUUACUUUUGCAACACAGAGACUCAGGAUGUGCGCUCUCUUUUCAGGAUUGAGAAGCAGAAACAUAACUCCUACUGCAGAAUCGUGUUCGACGUAGGAUGGCAUGUGGGCUCUCACUUGGACGUGUGUCAUACAAAGAAGGUGGCGGACAUGGCUGCUAUGAUCCCCCGGGUGAUGAGGUCACGGGUUGCAUGGCUAAAGGAAGGAGACCGUAACACACAUUUUUUUCACAGAAAAGUAGUAUGGAGAGCUAGGAAGAACAACAUAAAGCUGCUAGUGGAUGGUACAGGAGCAGCUCAAAGAGAUCAUGAGUCCAUGGCGGCUAUGGUCACAACAUACUUUUCAGAUUUGUUUUCUACGGAUGAUUUUUCAAACAAGGAGAUAGCCGACACGUUGUUUCAGAUAGUGCCACUGAAGGCUCCGGGACCAGAUGGGCCCCCUGCUCGUUUCUUCCAAAGAAAUUGGGCAGUGAUGCGGGAGCAAGUUAUCGCAGGCGCAGAGGAGUUCUUCCGGACCGGGAUAAUGCCAGAGGGGGUGAAUAACACUGCCAUUGUCCUCAUCCCGAAGGUGGAUAACCUGAUAAAGUUGACAAAAUUCAGACCUAUCAGCUUAUGA